AAUGGAGGCGGCGUGAGGAAGAAGGCAGAGAAGGAAGGCGGCUUGAGGGGGCGAGACACUCUUCUUUAACGCUCAAUUUCAACGCUUUAUUCAACCCACACGCCACUCCAGACCUUAGGAAAUAAAGUAGAGAGGCUGAUAGAGGAUGCCGGCAUAUCACACUGAGGGUGAUGGGGAUCGCUACAGAGGACAUGGGCGUGGGGGCAUGGGAGGCUGGGGGGGACGGGAUAGCGGGGGGGGCAGCCGGGGUUACAGUCAUGGGGGUGGCGGGGGCCGAGGAGGGGGAGGGGGAGGCGGGAGGUACAAUGACAGGUACAGGUGGACUGCUGAAGGUGAAGGAGGAAGCCGACAAGGGCCAUCUAGAGGCUACAAGGACAACUACAGCCAUCACA